GAAACCCUCAAUCUUUUGUACAGUUUUCCAAUUGUGUAAAUUGAUUGCUUAUUAUUACAAUGACUAGUUCUCUUUUAUUUGUUUAUUGUUAAGCAUAUUGUCAAGAUUUCUUCCUCCAAAGAAUUUGAGCCAGUGAUGAUUUUUUACAAUUUAUAAGAUGAAGACUUGAAUACUUUUUAUUUCAUAAACCUUGUUUCUAACCAGUAAAAUCGCUAUAUUGUCAAAUGAUCAUUUGGCUCUUUAAGUUCUUAAAGCAUUUUAUUUUUUCUGUAUCAUUGUUCACACCUUUAAUACCUGUAAUCAUUAUUAAUGCCAAUGGUAUACAUGUAUAUCCCGCUGUACAAGUAUUUAUAACCUUGUCAAUAUUAACAUUUCUGAGUAAUUGUUAGUUUUGUAUAUUCUAUGGUUAUACGUACAUGUACAUGUGUAACAAAACCAUCCAGUUUUCUUGUAUCAUGCCAGGAUGCAAAUUCUUGUCUGCACUGCAUUUUUUUUUGUGCAAUAUCCGAGAUGAAAUAAAACUUAACAAAAA
rnacentral:misc_RNA from 1 species